rnacentral:tRNA from 1 species
GCCCCGAUAGCUCAGUGGUAGAGCAGUUGGCUGUUAACCAAAAGGUCGCAGGUUCGAAUCCUGCUCGGGGCG